AUUGUCGGAGCGUCACCGGGAAGUGCUGGCCAGUGAGGCCGAGAAAGUCCGGAGUCUUCGGGCACAGCUCUUCGCCAGAGAGCGGGAAGUGGCGAAACUCCAGACCUUACAGUCAACUCGGGUUCAGGAAUGUUUGACCGAACUGGAGGACCUGAGGGGAAUACUGGAACACAAGGACCAAGUGAUCCUGGGUCUUUUGGAAGAUGGCCGAGCGAGAGAUCAGCUGCUGUCCACUCUCCAGGAACAGCUCAGUGACUCUGUGCUGCUGAAGGUCACUAUGAAGCAGACGCUGUGAGACCACAGAGAGUGUCGAGGGGGAUGGACCCAGAACUCGAUCCCCACACCGUCGGUGAUGAUCAACAGCCAAAGAAUUGCCAAAUGGUCUCUCCUUCCUGCUAGAGCUUGUGGGUCUUCCUGAACCCGGUCAACGUGGACUCAAAAUGUUAACACGCUCUCCCAUGUUCUCUCUCUCUCUCUCUCUCUCUCUCCCCCCCCCCCCCACUCUUUCUCACACCUCAGACACUGCCAGACCUGCUGAGUUUCUCCACCAGAUCAAUGAGAGAUACCAUUGAGUUACAGGAUCAUGUUCAGAGAGUUUGUCCUUCUCUCCCCUCCCUCCUCUGCUCCCUCGAUCUCCCUCCCUCCCUCCUCCGCUCCCCUCUCCCCUUUCCCCUUUCCCCCUCCCUUUUGGAUUCCCCCCAGGUUGUGGAACACCUUGUCUGGAUUGGUUUCUCCUCCCUUUCUGGGAUUGGGUAUUGCCAGAGAGCUGGGUGAUUAGUUACUUCUCCAGAGUUGCUCCUGGGUGGAGCGAGCACACACGCAUACGCACACGCUCAAACACACACACACACA